CUGUUGGGUAGGGGAGCGUUGUGUAAGCGGAAGAAGGUUCAUCGAGAGGUGGGCUGGACGUAUCACAAGUGCGAAUGCUGACAUAAGUAACGAUAAAACGGGUGAAAAACCCGUUCGCCGGAAGACCAAGGGUUCCUGUCCAACGUUAAUCGGGGCAGGGUGAGUCGGCUCCUAAGGCGAGGCUGAAAAGCGUAGUCGAUGGGAAACAGGUUAAUAUUCCUGUACUUGGUAAAGCUGCGAUGUGGGGACGGAGUAGGUUAGGUUAUCGCACUGUUGGAUAUGUGCGUUUAAGUUGGUAGGUGGGAAGUUUAGGCAAAUCCGGACUUCCUUAACACAGAGAGAUGAUGACGAGGCUCUACGGAGCUGAAGUAACUGAUACCACACUUCCAGGAAAAGCCACUAAGCGAAAGGCUUUACUAAACCGUACUGAAAACCGACACAGGUGGUCAGGUAGAGAAUACUCAGGCGCUUGAGAGAACUCGGGUGAAGGAACUAGGCAAAAUAGCACCGUAACUUCGGGAGAAGGUGCGCCGGCGUAGAUUGUAAGGGCUAGCCCCUGAAGGUUGAACCGGUCGAAGAUACCAGCUGGCUGCAACUGUUUAUUAAAAACACAGCACUCUGCAAACACGAAAGUGGAGGUAUAGGGUGUGAUGCCUGCCCGGUGCUGGAAGGUUAAUUGAUGGUGUAAUCGCAAGAGAAGCACCUGAUCGAAGCCCCAGUAAACGGCGGCCGUAACUAUAACGGUCCUAAGGUAGCGAAAUUCCUUGUCGGGUAAGUUCCGACCUGCACGAAUGGCAUAAUGAUGGCCAGGCUGUCUCCACCCGAGACUCAGUGAAAUUGAAAUCGCCGUGAAGAUGCGGUGUACCCGCGGCUAGACGGAAAGACCCCGUGAACCUUUACUAUAGCUUGACACUGAACAUUGAAUUUUGAUGUGUAGGAUAGGUGGGAGACUUAGAAGUAGUCACGCCAGUGAUUAUGGAGUCGACCUUGAAAUACCACCCUUUAACGUUUGAUGUUCUAACGAAGAUGACGAAACGUGGUCUCGGACAGUGUCUGGUGGGUAGUUUGACUGGGGCGGUCUCCUCCCAAAGCGUAACGGAGGAGCACGAAGGUUUGCUAAUCACGGUCGGACAUCGUGAGGUUAGUGCAAUGGUAUAAGCAAGCUUAACUGCGAGACAGACAAGUCGAGCAGGUACGAAAGUAGGUCAUAGUGAUCCGGUGGUUCUGAAUGGAAGGGCCAUCGCUCAACGGAUAAAAGGUACUCCGGGGAUAACAGGCUGAUACCGCCCAAGAGUUCAUAUCGACGGCGGUGUUUGGCACCUCGAUGUCGGCUCAUCACAUCCUGGGGCUGAAGUAGGUCCCAAGGGUAUGGCUGUUCGCCAUUUAAAGUGGUACGCGAGCUGGGUUUAGAACGUCGUGAGACAGUCGGUCCCUAUCUGCCGUGGGCGUAGGAGAAUUGGUUGGGGCUGCUCCUAGUACGAGAGGACCGGAGUGGACGCACCACUGGUGUUCCGGUUGUGUCGCCAGACGCAUUGCCGGGUAGCUAAGUGCGGAAGAGAUAAGUGCUGAAAGCAUCUAAGCACGAAACUUGCAAGAGAUGAGUUCUCCCAAUCUAAGAGAUAGUAAGGGUUGUUGUAGACUACGACGUAGAUAGGUCUGGUGUGUAAGUGUAGUGAUACAUUGAGCUAACAGAUACUAAUUGCCCGAGAGGCUUAACUAU
rnacentral:rRNA from 1 species